rnacentral:lncRNA from 1 species
AACAGGGAUGGUGUGCCACACCAGCCUGGACAGCCACCGCCUGGCUUGGACAGAGCUCUCUUCCAUUCACGAAAGCUCCUGAGAGUUCCAUCGUCAGCCAGCCUGCAUCGUGGACAUGUGGCUUUGACCUGCUUGCUUUGGUACAAAAGAGCAGACUUCCUCCUUCCCACCCCUCUGCCCAGUGACUGUGGAGUGAGCCUCCUGUGCAGUGCAGACCUGCCCGCCCGCCCGCCCGCCCAGUUCCCUAGGCACAGUGGUUUGGCAGCAGGGUCAUUUUAGCUGGAGGCUUUUUGUUUUAAAAAGCAGCUAAGGUUUUUACAAAGGGGAAAUGAGAACAAAAUGCUAGCUACAUCUGUAUAGCUGAACUUUUAUAUGGUCCUCGCUGUCCUCUCUCUGCUCUGCUGUCCCCAGUGGUCACCUUUUAUCUCCGUCCUGUUUGACAUGUCACAGUGCUACCUUAAGAGGUGAUUCUUAAGAGUCACACACACACACACACACACACACACACACACACACACACACCCCGGUUGGCUAACCGUUGGGGUUUGGAGGAUGUGAUUGGACAUUCUGGUUGGUCCCUCACCACCUUGGGCACUGUGAAGUUGGUAUCUGAGUUUAGUUCCCUGGUGUGGAGUUAAUGUUUCAGAAUAAGAAUUAUCUGUUCAGGGCCCUUUUGCUGUCAUUGGACACAGUGAGUAUUGAGCACCGGAGGAAUUGUGGAGUUUUGUAAUCCAGAUUGGCCCCACUUGGGGACUGCAUCUUGGGCUCCGUGCUUUAGCCCCCUGGGUGGCUUUGUUCCCCACUCAUUUCCUUUCCUCUUUGUGGAGCCUGCUGUGUCCCUCUGGAUCCCUGUCCAUUCACUCCUCACAGCUUAUCACCAAAAUCAAUAUAAGGACACAGGUGAACACCUAUUAGUCAAGUUUGCGACAGGAAAGACUAUGUAUGGCACAUUCAUCUUCCGUCCUUCACUCCUGGUAACAGGGCAGGGUGUUGGGUAGGGUUUCUAAGCUAUAGGUGUGUUACCCUUCCUUAGAGAACUGGACAGGGUCAAGGUAUAAGUGGCCUACAGAGAAACCUAUGCAGCCUCAAAGGAGGCUGGUGGUGUCUAAAGGGUGGUGUCUUGGGGCUACUGCUUGCAGGUUUUGUGUGAGCACCUGUAUGCGAGGCUUCUUGCUUUCACUAAGAACAAGGAAAAUUUCCCAUUGCUCAAAGGAAAAUGAAGUGAAUUUCAGGGUGCUCAGCUGCUGCUUAGGACCCCCAUUUAAUCACCCAUCUGGGGUGUUGGAGACAGCCUGCUUCAGAGAGCUCAUAGUUGGUGGCAGGGCUGGGACAAGCAUGUGGGUCUGUCCUCAAGUGUCACCAUGGGCAUGAGAGCAGAGAAGCAGCUUAGAAGCUCUGAAGUGGCUUCGCCCUGCCUAGUUGGUUGUUGAAGGAAGCAGAAGUCUGUUUCCCCCGGCAGGUACUGCCACACUGUCCCCAGCAUUACCAGUCAGGGCAGCCUUGGUGCAGUUUCAUUGCAACUGCAGCCCUCGGCUCCUUCCUUCCCACCUCCGACACAUCUCCUCUCUUCUCGCAUCCCUCCUCAGAAGCACUGUCCACUUAGGAGUCCCCAGCACAGAUCUGCCUGUGCCCCUAUCAGCCCUUCCACCCCCCGGAAGUGACCGAGUCCUCUGCCCCACUGCCAAGCUCUACCCCAUAAGUCUCACUCAGUAAAAGCCACACAGUCACCUCUUAGAAAUGCGGCCAGACCCACCUCACCCAAUGCUUGGUGGGCAUUAUGUGUCAAAAGAAGCAAACAUUUUUCUCUUUCAGAAUUUCACAGGAUGCUGUUACAAACUCAAAAUGUGCCCUUUAGGUGAGCCUGCUGUCAGAAUGGCAGUACUCCCUGUUUUAAGAAGAAAAAUUAGGAGGUCACCUGUUUUCAGUCCUUUCUCUAACCCUGUAUUUCCCUCCUGCCUCCCACCCUAAAUAAAAACAAGAAACACUAGAAUUUAUUUAUAUGUAUUGAUGUUGUAGGUCUAGAUGG